rnacentral:rRNA from 1 species
CCUCGGGCGUCAGCAGUGAGGAAUAUUGGUCAAUGGUCGGGAGACUGAACCAGCCAAGCCGCGUGCGGGAUGAAGGUACAGAGUAUCGUAAACCUCUUUUGUCAGGGAACAAAGGCGGGGACGUGUCCCCGGAUGAGUGUACCUGAAGAAAAAGCAUCGGAUAACUCCGUGCGAGCAGCCGCGGUAAUACGGAGGAUGCGAGCGUUAUCAGGAUUUAUUGGGUUUAAAGGGUGCGCAGGCGGUCUGUUAAGUCAGCGGUCAAAGCCCGGGGGUCACCCCCGGCCCGCCGUUGAAACUGGCAGUCUCGAGUUGGAGAGAAGGAUGCGGAAUGCGCGGGGUAGCGGUGAAAGGCAUAGAUAUCGCGCAGAACUCCGAUUGCGAAGGCAGCAUGCCGGCUCCACACUGACGCUGAGGCACGAAAGCGUGGGUAUCGAACAGGAUUAGAUACCCGAGUAGUC